CCCCCCCCCCCCCCCCACCCUUGGCCUUCUGGCGCUAAAAAUACUCAGCAGUACAAAGGGGACAAUGCUUUUUCAUCACAUAUUCAUCCAUUAUUUACAAUAGAGUAAUUUAUCACACACUAUUAUCCAAAGCAACUAUUGAAUUAAGUAGGGGUCAUUCAGGAGCAAUGGUGGAGGCAUCUUGCUCAAGGAUGCCUACAGCUAGACUGGGGACAUUGGGGUUCAAUUAGCAUUGCGCUUGCGCGGGUGUGUGUGCAUGUGUGCGUGUGUAAGCACCCACUUACACAUGUGCGUGCGCGUUGCUUUCAUGGCCGACCGAAUCAGAGAGGUUGUCACCUUGUGGGUGUCGUAUUACUCCUAUGAAGAAGAAAAGAAAGAACCCAAAUCUUUGUUCGUUGGCCUCGGUGCACGCCUUGCCUUUCCCCAUCCGGCUGACGCAGCCCAGGAACGGCCGGUGAAUUAUUAACGCCCCUCGGCUGGUGCACUCCCAGCAGGCUGCUGGAGCCUCCGACCUUCAGCCUUAAUGGAGGUGAUGGUGGAGGUGGAGGCUGAGGGGUCUCUGAGAGGCGGUCCACCAGGGGUUAAAGGGCGGAGAGGGGAGGGGGACAUUAGCACGCUGUGAAGGAGGCCUAAUGGAGGAGUCUAUAGCGCUACUCCACGGCGGGUUAGUGGAGUCUUAACGGGUAGGGAGACCUCAUUGUUUUCUUCUGGUCUCUGGUAGUGGGGUUAGUGGAUAGUGGUUAUGGAGUCUUAACGGGGAGGGGAACCUCAUUAUUUUUUCUUCUGGUCUCUGGUAGUGGGGUUAGUGGAUAGUGGUUAUGGAGUCUUAAAGGGGAGGGGAACCUCAUUAUUUUUUCUUCUGGUCUCUGGUGCUUUGAGACGGUCGGCUCCAAAGCAAUCACCGGAGAGGGGAUGGACGCUUAUCCAGUUCAGGGACGUCGUCAGCUGUUUAUACAAAGAUGAGAUAGGGUUAGAGAUGGGGUAAAAGAGAUGGGAUGAGAUAUCGGACCCCCUGCGAUGCACUGCCGUCGAUUUGAUGACAGAGAGAGAGAGAGAGAGAGAGAGAGAGACUCCCUGUCCAGAGGUAACGCGGGGAGCGAGGUCAUGAAGGAGGAGCGAGGUCAUGAAGGAGGAGCGAGGUCAUGAAGGAGGAGCGAGGUGAAGGAGGAGCGAGGAGCGUUUCGAGGGCAGAAAAUACCUCUUAAGGCUGCGAGUGGCUGCAUGAUGAUGUGUCUGUGUAGGAAUCAAUGGGAAACGUUGUGAACCGCGUGGACCGAUCAAUGUUGCCAUGAUCACAGCAUAGCAGAGGGCUGCUAUCACGGAAGGAGCUGAGCUGUAAUUGUUUUAAUACAAUCCAAAUCCUAAUCCCAUCCAUUUGUUUUAAUACACUCAGGUCAUAUUUGGAUUGGGAUGAAUGGUCUCUCGACCAAUAGAUAUGAUGUGAUUGCAAUGUCGAACGGGAUGGCUUUUCUGGGUAUUUUUCUUGUUUGGUUACCCUCAUCAUGUCUUUUGAUCUUUGUUGGGCAGAAGCGCGAUGUCCUAAAUGAUAUGUGUGUGCUCUGAUGUACUCCCUGUUCAGAUAGUGAGGCCAAUGAAGGAUAGCUCUGCGUAACAUAACAUGUUAGGCUGUGACAAGCAGGUUAACUACCGCCAGGAGCCAGCUAACUCCACUGGGCUUUAGAACCUGGCGUUGUGUUUCUUGUGUUGAAGUAUUCUUUACUCUCCCUCUCCCUUACCUUAUUUUACUCUCUUGUGCUGAUGUUGUGUGCAAGCACAUUUGGACAGGUAAGCCCACUGGGGUUGGAGUGAGUGGGAGAACAGAUCAGGCACUGUCAGACGGCGAGAAAAGCAACGAGGGUUGUUGAUGUUCCCCAUUUUCUUUUGAGACUGAAAAACACUGUCAACGUCUCAAUGUCUCAGAGUAGCUUAGCAACACGGAGCCAUCCAUCAAAUGACAUUAUGAAUGACUAAUAUUUCAUUAUUAGAUCAAACCAAAGUGGCAGUUUGUGGCAUUAAACAAACACGCUUAGGUAGUUGAAAAGAACAAAACAACUCAUUGUAAUUUGUCAUUUAGGAGCAUUUGAAAUCUGUGAAUGCCUUCAAUGCGCGCCUUUCAAUGUCUGCGUUCCCUAACGUCAGAUGUAUAUGCAACAUCAUCUUAACCAAUAAAAAGGACACAUCACAGCCUGCAUGGCCUCUUCUCAUCUGGAAAAUCGCCUAUCCAUCGUCCUUAUCAGGGGCUGUGACAUGGGCAAAUAAAACACUCUUUUACCCCAUACCUCCCUGGCUCAUUCCCGCCUCUGUCAGGUGCCCUCAUCGUCAGCGGCAACAGAACCCAACAGUUUGUAUACAGCCCCCUGCGUCAACCUAUCUGCAACGAGCACUUAGAGCUUAAGGUAGCGUUGCAUCGACACUCAUGGUGGGUGUUGAUAUCAGUCCUGACUGCCAUGCCAGACUUUAACACAGAGUAACGGCACCGGAGACCAUGCUGAUGCAGUUUAUCAGCAACACAGGCUUUAUCAUGUCGGAUAUUGUUUUGGAAGGGAUUAUGAUGAUACUGCGAUCCAUUUAUUCUGAUGAGUCUUGGCUUAAGUAGAUCAAGUUCAUGCCGUUGAUGGAUAAAUAGAUCAAGAAUAUAGUGUCUGGUAAAUGUUAUGGGCUUGUGUUGGCCGAUAUGAUGCUCCCAGCUGUCUGCCAUGUGGUGCCUCGAUGAUACUUUGUCUGAGCAGUGCUGACGGCUGCUUCUUUGAAAUAAAACAUGUGAUUUGGGAAAGAGGACAUCCUUUCAAUACCCCCCUCCCCACUCUUUACCCUCAAUACACCAAGAGAGUGGGGAAGAGAGAGAGAGAGAGCAGAAGAUGGAGUUUCUCAGCCAUUGAAAAGUGUUCCAUUUCACACACCUGUGAUUGACAGGCAAGAUGGUUUCCCCCAACCAAUCAGGGAACAGAGGCUCUGAUUGGUCAGAGGGACACCGGGAGCGGUCCAACAAUCGAAAUGGCUCUCGUAAACAGGCAGUGAAAACAAAACAGAUAUGCUCACCGGAGCGGUUCACUGAAUUACAGCUGAUGGAUCGCGGUGGCAUUUCUCCCAGAUUACACUCGAUAAUAAUAGCUGUUGAAUAUGACCUACGGCCUUUAUGCUGUGCACGGUGUUUGACAAACUCAACACACAUCCCUCUGUGUCCACGAUGGCACUCGAUCCUUGUCGGCGGGCAGGUUUUAUGUCAGUAUUAUAUAAAGGAUGAAACCUCCUUUGACUAUAAGUCGUUGACAGCAGAUGAAAAGGAAGAGGAAGACCUUAUGAUAAAAGAUAGUUUGGACUCCCCCCCUCGCCCCAGAGAAGCAGACAUCAAACGGGCCCGGGGGUUUUGCUUCCGAUUCUACAGGGAUUUAAUCUGCCCACCAAAAGCAUUACUAUGUCACUCUGGGAAUUACUUCAUUUUAUACGAUGAACUUGCAUUCCUGGGAGAAGAAAAAGCCCUUCUUCCUCCUCCGUCUUUUUUAAAUUAGUCUCCUUCCAAAGGUACGGCUUCCCUCUCCUUUGAAAACGGCAGGGAGUUAAAGUUGACUUCUCCCACUCUUUUACAAUUUUUAUUUCACCGUGGUUGGGGAUUGGCGGUUGGCCCCUGUCGGGGGGGCCCUAGAAGCCUCUCCUGUCAUCUCAAGCAGCUCCGUCGACCUGUGUGACCACUAAGCACACUCUGCUCUCCGGAAUCCUGUUAACCCCCUGGGCUGAUCUCUGUCCGCCAAAACCAUCCGAUCGGAAACGCAUGGUUUUGGCUCUUUGGGAAAUGUGUCCUGGCCAGCCGGUGGCUGAGGGGCCGGGGCCCGGUGUAAACAUGAGGCGCUGCCUCGCUAAGGAAAUCGUAAUUGGUCUAUUGACAAAAGACUUCACAUUGAGCCUCAGGAUUGGACUGGCUGGCUCUGAGCGCAGGAGAGCAAUCUCCCGGAGAAUGCUGACUAAUCCCAUUACAUCUAAACACGUGUUUGUGGCAAAACAGGCUAAAGAUGUCCUUGGUUCUCCUUUUUUGCAAGAGUUUAAAUGGUUGGGUUUGAAGGAAGACACUGUGUUGUGUUUUUUUUUGUGUCUUUGUGUAAGAAAGGAGAAAUAAAAGCCAUAGCCUUCUGUUCAGUUCUUAUUUUAGCACUGCCUAGUGUUGCUGUUUUUUGUCCAAGCUCCUAUCUUCUUUAUUUUAAUGUUAUUUUCUGAAUCUAGGUCUUUAUAGUUGUUUGUUUUCUUUAAUUCACUGCCUAUUGCAGUUUAUGGUAGGUCAACCAGGUUUAAUUAAUUGCUUCCAACGGUUUGGCCUGGGCCGGAAAACGGAAAGAUCGAGGGACGGAGUAACGCAGUGUUUCCUGUUUGUUAAAGAUUUAUUCUUCCAGAGAGAAAAACUCAUUUGAGCGUGUCGAAAGGGGAGGGACGAUGAAACGAUGAUUUUUGUGCUUCCACAGUGGCCAGUGGCUUACAACACAGGUUGAAUUUUAAACCUUUACAGAAACUUGAUCUAAGGAUGUUGGUGUCCGGAAAGGACGUUUUCAGCUUGUCUUCCCAACGGUUAAACCACACCAUGUUUCUGGAGAUUCCUCUACCAAUGGGUGACAUGUGUUGUGUUUGUGGAUCUGACACUCAAACUGCCUCUGCGAAGUUGCUCCUAAAUGCCUGUUAACUGUAGAUCGUUUCUUUCCCUUUUCUGGUGAGUACGGUUAAUUCAAUAAAUAAAAUGGCUUACUCGCAGUGUGUGUGCCCAGAUGGUCCGCUGGGAAGUGAAAAGGCUGCAUCAUCAUAAGCAUUCAUGCAAGAUGAUUUUAUGGAUUUUGAUGGAUUUCUCUUCUGGAGAAAUAUUUUUUCAAGUGGGUCUAGAGGGAUUCUGUCGUCGCUGUGUGCGUCCCCUUAUGAGCUAUUAGACACACAACGUUGUUUCCAUGGAAAUGUCCAAUGCAGCUGUACAGUGUACCUUGUAUACACAAGCCGGCUGACACGAAAACAAACGAUCAGGUACAGAUCUGUACGAACACAGACACACUCCUCUUCUAACUUCUUAUCUUUUAUUUAAACGUGUGUGUGUGUGUGUGUGUGUGUGUGUGUGUGUGUGUGUGUGUGUGUGUGUGUGUGUGUGUGUGUGUGUGUGUGUGUGUGUGUGUGUGUGUGUGUGUGUGUGUGUGUGUGUGUGUGUGUGUGUGUGUGUGU